rnacentral:rRNA from 1 species
UACGAGGGGGGCGAGCGUUGUUCGGAAUUAUUGGGCGUAAAGGGUGCGUAGGCGGUUUUGUAAGUCUUAUGUGAAAUCUACAGGCUCAACUUGUAGUCUGCAUGAGAAACUGCGGGGCUCGAGUGUGGGAGAGGAAAGUGGAAUUCCUGGUGUAGCGGUGAAAUGCGUAGAUAUCAGGAGGAACACCGGUGGUGUAAACGGCUUUCUGGACCAUAACUGACGCUGAGGCACGAAAGCGUGGGUAGCAAACAGG